rnacentral:tRNA from 1 species
GCGGGGGUAGCCAAGCCUGGCCAACGGCGCAAGAUCGAGGGUCUUGUCUCGCAGGAGUCCAAGGGUUCGAAUCCCUUCCCCCGCA